CAGUAGCCGCGGUAAUACGUAGGGUCCGAGCGUUGUCCGGAAUUAUUGGGCGUAAAGGGCUCGUAGGCGGUUUGUUGCGUCGGGAGUGAAAACCCAGGGCUUAACUUUGGGCUUGCUUUCGAUACGGGCAGACUUGAGGCAUUGAGGGGAGAACGGAAUUCCUGGUGUAGCGGUGAAAUGCGCAGAUAUCAGGAGGAACACCGGUGGCGAAGGCGGUUCUCUGGCAAUGUUCUGACGCUGAGGAGCGAAAGUGUGGGGAGCGAACAGGAUUAGAUACCCGCGUAGUCCCUGUCUCUUAUAC
rnacentral:rRNA from 1 species